rnacentral:lncRNA from 1 species
GCGACCUCUUAGUUAAGAGUCAGCUCUAGCACGUGCUCGUAGGCACUUUGUGAGAGUAAAAGGUGGGUUAUAUAAUAAAAUUAUAGUACACCUUUUUAAUCAACUGUCGUACAUGUUGGCUACAAGAUGAGUUAUAGAUUUUUUUCGAAAAGGAGGCCUCGCCCCGGCCUCUGCAUCGAGUGAUGCAUACAGCCAUCUUAUUUAAAGAUGAGUUAUAGAUGACAUGACAAUGACUUCUAACUAGCAGUUUACUAUACUAUUAACCAUGCUCUAACCGACCCCUCGAUGCAUCCAAGCAGCAUCGAAUUGUCUCCCAACCGUCCCACGUUUGUCAUAUCAUACGCAUCUGAUAAGAUAAUUUUCUAUCCCACGGCGAUUAUACAUAGAAUGAUAGGUCGGACUGGACAAGGUAAAGGUACAAUUCCAUGUGCGAUGUAACGGG